GAGACCUACCAUGAUUGUUCCAUGUGUUUAUUUUACAUAAGAUGUAAAGAAUGAAUAUGAGAUAAGGAAAAACAAAUAAGCUAAACGUUCAAAGGUCAGGAGCAGCAGAUUUGCCAUGCUUUGUAUUUUCUAGACAUCUCAUUAGAAUCACUUUAUUUGUAAAUAUGCGUGUGGAGAAACAUGUGGAAGUUGUCUUUCAAACUGGUCAAGUAAGCUGCCCAGUUUUCUCGUUUACUGGAGUCUAUUCUGAGUGGUAGAGCUGUUUGCCAGAGCUGUGGUACCUGGAGUUCUUCUGCUCCCUUUGCAUUUUCUACUUCUAUUUAUUCAGGCUUCCCAAACCCAUUGAUGAAAACGUAAGGAAGAGUGCAAAGGGAGUUGGAGAAUUUCUAGAUUUGUCUUCAGGAGCAUAGCAGAAGUCUGUCCGGGAAGGACAGGAGACAGCAGUACCCUGUAAAUCUAAAUGAAUACACUCAGCAUCCCGUAAUAAUGCUCCCUUUUUAUUACUGUGCAUCCGAGGGGUUUGGUGCUUCAACGAGUCAAAAGGUGGAUAGAAAGUGUGCAAAGGACACUGCUCCUUAUCCAUAAACACACUGAUGGGAAGGUAGAUGUGCCUGGGUGUGCAAGAUGAAUGUACUUUUUGUGUAAAACCUGUUACAUCAGAAUGAAAUGAUGGUGACAAGCUACUUCAAACCUCUUAGAUGCUAGAGCAGCCACAACCACUAGCCUUGGCUGUAGAACCGUGCCACAGGGAUUUCCAGAAACAUUAAGCAUAUAUGAGAUUUUGUUUCUGAGAUAUCACCUACCUCUGUCCUUUCUGGUCUACCUCAGCUCCAGUGUCAAACAUUCUUCUCUCUUUAACGUGUCCAGUACAUAAUGUGCCAAGUGCAAUCAACAGCUCACUUAUUUAGGUCUAGUAGGGAGGGAAUAAUUAAAUGGCUUUGCUCAUCCAAAGUAAUUUAUUCUACACUCCUGUUCAUAUGGACACGGAGAUAUGCUUUUUCCCUCUUGGUAAUCUUUUAUAUUUUCAUUAAGUGAUGUAACUAUAAAAAAAGUGCAGAGUUUCCUUCUUAGGUUAAAACAGCUAGAAUUUGCCGCUUGUAUUGCCUGCCAAUAUGUGACACUUCAAAGGGUAAAAAGUCUUCAUGUAUCUGGCGUAUGUACUAGUAAUGAUGGAAAAGAACAAAUUAAUUCACAUUCCAUGCUAGGAAUGGGAAUAAAUAAAUAAAUACAGCUGUGCACAGAUGUAAACAUCAGUCAUGAUGAUGUUUUGUUUCACAGAUCUCUCUGUUCAAGGAUUUCAAUGGUAAAUAUGGUAAUUAAAAUGUCUGUGGACUCUAACCCAUUUAGAAUAUAUAUGUACAGCUAUUUGCAUUAUCUGUCUCCACUGGUAAUGUAUUCUUUUUCACCCUUAGGUCGGAAGGUUAAAGAAGUCAGUCGCUCAAAACUACUCAAACUCAACAAAAAAGUGCAUAAAGGUACGAAUUUCAAAAUCAUUCCAGUGGAAAUGAGGAAAUACUGCAAAGCUUGUCCUCAGAAAGCCCUUAAGGAUGCUCCUGGACCCCUUCCACAGUUAAAAUGAGCAGGCUGAGAGCAGGAUGAAAAGCAUCUGCCUGCUGACACAUCUCACAGUGCUUUACUUCGUGGAGGGCCCUGCUUUCACAGACAGGACAUGAGUGUAUAUUACCUUUAUUUUUUCAUUUGGGAAAGGCUUCAGUACUAUUUAUUCAUUCGCUUGGGCUCCGUCAUCUUGAUAACAUUAGCCUGGCAGCUAAAGAGUCAGGCAAAGCUGUCUGGCUGCCACUGGAAUUCAUGUCACUUGCAUAUUCCUCUGCAAACAGGGAUUUAGCUCCUCAAAUGAAAGGAGGAGGAGAGCUGAUUGAAGAGCUGGCUGAAUCACUUUAUUUAGCAUUUUUCGAUUGCCUGAAAGGUGGUAAAGGACUGAUGUUAUUGUUUCUAGUUAUUGGUGUAUAUGCAUAUUUAACCUUUUCUAUGAAUGAUUUAUUUUGUAUUGAAAAAAGGAUUGUGUUUGUAGCUAGGCACAUGAUGAUUUUUCCUGCAGCCUUUGCUCUCAGUGCUUGAAAUCCAUUUGAAAGUAGAUUUCUAGCAAGUGAGAAAGAGUUCAUAAUUUAAAAGGGGCUGAGAAAGUAGAUAAGCAGGCUGUUAAAAUAGUGGUAAAGGACCAGAUUUGAGUAAAGUGGUAAGCUUUUGUGUAUUGCCUCUGAGGGUUUAAAUCUGACUUUUAAAGCAAAGGGGCCUGUUUAACUUCCUAGAAGAAUGUCAUCAGGUGGUUAUUAAACAGCAUCUUGAAAAGUGUUAAAGCUAAUCAGGUUAAAUACCUUCCUCCUGAAGUCAGAAAGCAUCUGUUCUUUCAAUACACCUGAGUUGUGUGAUCACCCCAAUAAACAAAAUUUGCUGGAGCAUGAAAUAAAUGCUAAGAAUAAUACCAAAGGGCUGAAUAAUAAAGAAACUGAAGCAUGCUCUGCUGACGUCAUUAGCAGUGAUUGGUGUCUUCACUCACGUAUCUUUUUUCCUCUCCUAAUUGUCCUCUGCAUAUGCUAUUUCUCUGCCUGGAAGUGGAUCCUUAAAACAGAAUUAUUUGGUUGUUCAUAAAUUCAUUGUUCCUUCUAGUGAAUAUGAGGAGGAGUAGAAAGAUUUUCUGCUUUUGAGCAAACUGCAGAUUGGAAAUAGUAAUUUUUCCCUCAGUACUCAUAGUAUUACUGUUUCUCUUAAAAUAAUUUUCAGUACAAUAGGAAUGGUCUCAGUGCCCUUCAGAAUUUGGGGGAGUUGAAUGGGGACAGUCAGAGGCCUGUUGUAGCCCACACAGGAAAAUGCAAUACCCAAGGGUCACAUUUGUGGGUAGUUACAUGAGGCCAUGCUCUCACUGUCAAUGUUUCUAUCGUAAUGAGCAAUUGAACCUAUUUCUGAGUCUCCUAUGUGCUUGUUAUUAUUUUAUUUUCUUAUUAGUUUUGAGAUUAGAUAGAUCUGACUCUCAGCUUCCUAUUUUUGAAGAGCUGACCAUGCAUAGCAUUUUUACAUCAAGUAUGAAGGAGCUGCCAGUUCUCCUCGCAAGAUCUUUGAGUCAGGAGGUCGGUGAAGCAGCUAUGUUUGAUUGUUCUGUUGCUGAUCACUGGGCCAACACAUUUUAUUUCUAUUUUGUCUUUUGUAGCUCACAGAAGGAAUCUGUAGAAUACAAAUGACAAGUAAAUGUGAAGAGAAUUUUUGGUAUUAAAUGUUUGCAGCAGGUUUUUACUCUGUAAAAUAUGACCAUGUGUGUUUUCAGCUCUAUAUAAAGCAUUGCUAACAAGUAUGAAAUUUUCUUUUAGAUCUGAAAAAUGCUGUAUGAUUUUUCUCUCUGCCCCACACUCUCCAAUACGUGUGCUCCACACUCUCCAAUCCUCUUCAGGCAAAAUGUUUGAUAGCAAAAACAUAAACCCCAAAGACCACUAGCACAAUUAAAAAAAUUCUAUGGGUCUCUGGAGGGAUCCUGGGACAACAUUUAACGCACUUCAGUAUUUUUACUCUCUAAGUUUCCCUGACUGGCCUCAACCUAAGGUUAAGGGCUAUUCAAGUUAAAGAUGCUACUUGUGUGAAGUCCCAGUCUUUGCUGAACAAAAUAAAGCAGAUAUUCUCAAAUUAUUUCAGCAUAGGUUGUGACUGUUGCCCAAACAUGCUUUUUUGUUUCAUCUAGAGGUAUCAGGAUGUCAUGUGUCAGCCCUUGAAGGUGAUUCCUCAACAGAGUUCGACUUUUAUAUACCAGGCUGUUUUCCCCAUGUGAUAGAACAGAGCUACCAGAUCAUGGCUUCACUUACAGGCAUCUGUUCUUCCUUUUGUUUUCCUUUCACUUCUACAUAUAUUUAUUUGGUAUUACCUGAGGAGGAACAUAUAUUUGCUCCGUGGGUUUUCAAAGUACACAAGCUGUAUGCAUAUAUAAAGUAGUAAAUUUAGCUUGUCCAAGCUGACAAAAGUUUUGGGUUGGGUUGGGGUUUUUUUGUAUCUUGUGUUUUUGUGUACAUUUGGCUGUCAAACAAGAAAAUUGCACAACAGGAACAAUAGUUCCUUCAAAACCCAAUAAAGAUGUUUUUGAAGCAUUUCUAUGCCUGUCAGAACAGACUAGAUCCUCGUGUGACCUUGUGAACUAAAUGAGCCUGGUGGCCCCUCAUUUUGUUUAGAGCUUAAUACCACCAGCAAACCCCAAAUCAGUCUGUCUUAUUUGGCACUUAUUUGUCAGGAGCAAUGGGGAAAUGACCCCUGCUGUCAGGGAGUGUUGGUUGGUGCAGAGGCAGGUUUGGGGAUCUCUUCUUUCAAAGUGGAUAAUAAAAGAAAUAAAAUUAUGUGUUCUUUAUACAGAAUGUAUUCCCAAAAGGUCUAAUGGGUGCUUUUGCUAUUGGCUUUUCAGCCCUCUAGACUGUGUGGCAAACAACUGAUACAAGGGCCUAGGUAUGGUUGAAGCAUUCAGGAUUUUGGCUCUGGAGAAGUUCUGUUUAUCCAGAGUAUGGACUAUAACGGCAACUUCUUGGAAUUGCAUUUGCUAAGGAAAACUAAAAUUCUGCAUGGACAGUGUCAUCUCAAAUAAUAAACUCAGAUGAAACAUAAAAGCAGAAGGAUAAAUACUUCCUGUUGUAGAUAUACAUGACAUAUAAGAUACAUAUAAAAUAACUCUUGUCAAAACUGAGUGGAAAACUCCUGGUGACUUCAGUAUUCAUUGGAUCAAGUCUGGAGAUCUGUUGCCUGAUUCUAUUUUGUCUGACGUUGCUACACACACACACUGCCAUGAAUAGCUAUAGGAAAGUAUUGUCAGAUGGUGAACGCAGAUCAGAUGCAUAUACCUUUUUACUGCAGUUUUUUCUGAGAAGAAUUUGGCCAAAGCUUAGCAUUGACUUUCUCCUCUUGUAGGUGGAAGGUGAGGGGAAAACCCCCUUCCUCAUCACUCCUUUUUUUGCCUCAGAUCAACCAGUUCUUAUCAGAUGUGAGCAGUUGUCUCCAUCACGGCUAAUCUCUCUGCAGGAUUCAUUAAGUAUUCUUUUAAUUGCUGGUGGGAGGCAAGAGGGCUCCUUAGUCCUACAUGAAAUGACACGAACAAGGGUGUUGUUUCCAACCCAUGUAUGUCUGUGAUUCCCAGUAGCCCUUCAGUAUUAUAAGACUUAGAGUAGCCAUUGGAUAACCUAUGUUGGUUUUGAACACACAACAGUCUUGUCAUGCUUUGCCUUUUAAGCUUAGAGGAGGGGUAUUGGCACAGAAGGCAUUCCCAAAACUUACUUCUGUUUUCGAUAUCUCAGUGGUGGGAAUAUCUGCCAGAAAAUGUCAGUGUCUGGACAUGGAUUUGUUCAAGUUGUCAUUCAAUCUUUGUGCCAACAUUUGUCGGUGUGUUUCAGAUGCACUGGCUGGGAAUACCUUCAGAUGUGGGGGACUUAAUUCCACAUUUUCAGGCUGAUGCUCUGCAAGGGAGUGGCUAAGGCCAGAGAUUUGCUGUAGGAUAAGCACCUUACAUUCACAGUGCCAUCUGGUCAGCCUCUUUCAGAGGCUUUCAGCAUUAUCAGAGAAAUCAGGUCACUGUGUGCCUAUGACAGAUCCUAAACUGAACAUGACUUGUCUGUCUCCUUCAGCCUGACAUAAUCAUAAAAAUCUCUGUAGUCACAAGAAGCUGUCAUUCCAAGCCCAGUUUCCAUCAGAAACUCAAACUGCAUACAGGAUGUUAGUUCAAGAGCUGGUUAGUCCCAGCUGGCAGUACAGCACAGAUACUCACAGGUGGUGAUUUAAACCUUAUAUAGGAGGCAUUCAAAAGUUCAGUGCA